AGAGUUUGAUCAUGGCUCAGGACGAACGCUGGCGGCGUGCCUAAUACAUGCAAGUCGAGCGGACGAAUCGAAAGCUUGCUUUUGAUUCGUUAGCGGCGGACGGGUGAGUAACACGUGGGCAACCUGCCCUGUAGACGGGGACAACACCGAGAAAUCGGUGCUAAUACCGGAUAACACGAAAUGUCGCAUGACGUUUCGUUGAAAGACGGCGCAAGCUGUCGCUACAGGAUGGGCCCGCGGCGCAUUAGCUAGUUGGUGAGGUAACGGCUCACCAAGGCGACGAUGCGUAGCCGACCUGAGAGGGUGAUCGGCCACACUGGGACUGAGACACGGCCCAGACUCCUACGGGAGGCAGCAGUAGGGAAUCUUCCGCAAUGGACGAAAGUCUGACGGAGCAACGCCGCGUGAGCGAAGAAGGCCUUCGGGUCGUAAAGCUCUGUUGUUAGGGAAGAACAAGUAACGCAGUAACUGGCGUUACCGUGACGGUACCUAACGAGAAAGCCACGGCUAACUACGUGCCAGCAGCCGCGGUAAUACGUAGGUGGCAAGCGUUGUCCGGAAUUAUUGGGCGUAAAGCGCGCGCAGGCGGUUCCUUAAGUCUGAUGUGAAAGCCCACGGCUCAACCGUGGAGGGUCAUUGGAAACUGGGGGACUUGAGUGCAGAAGAGGAGAGCGGAAUUCCACGUGUAGCGGUGAAAUGCGUAGAGAUGUGGAGGAACACCAGUGGCGAAGGCGGCUCUCUGGUCUGUAACUGACGCUGAGGCGCGAAAGCGUGGGGAGCAAACAGGAUUAGAUACCCUG
rnacentral:rRNA from 1 species